UACAGAGGGUGCGAGCGUUGUUCGGAAUUAUUGGGCGUAAAGAGCUCGUAGGUGGUUUGUUACGUCUGCUGUGAAAACCUAGGGCUUAACCCUGGGCCUGCAGUGGAUACGGGCAGACUAGAGGUAGGUAGGGGAGAAUGGAAUUCCCGGUGUAGCGGUGAAAUGCGCAGAUAUCGGGAGGAACACCGGUGGCGAAGGCGGUUCUCUGGGCCUUACCUGACACUGAGGAGCGAAAGCGUGGGGAGCGAACAGG
rnacentral:rRNA from 1 species